GAUGAACGCUGGCGGCGUGCCUAAUACAUGCAAGUCGAGCGAACAGAUGAGGAGCUUGCUCCUCUGACGUUAGCGGCGGACGGGUGAGUAACACGUGGAUAACCUACCUAUAAGACUGGGAUAACUUCGGGAAACCGGAGCUAAUACCGGAUAAUAUAUUGAACCGCAUGGUUCAAUAGUGAAAGACGGUUUUGCUGUCACUUAUAGAUGGAUCCGCGCCGCAUUAGCUAGUUGGUAAGGUAACGGCUUACCAAGGCAACGAUGCGUAGCCGACCUGAGAGGGUGAUCGGCCACACUGGAACUGAGACACGGUCCAGACUCCGACGGGAGGCAGCAGUAGGGAAUCUUCCGCAAUGGGCGAAAGCUUGACGGAGCAACGCCGCGUGAGUGAUGAAGGUCUUCGGAUCGUAAAACUCUGUUAUUAGGGAAGAACAAAUGUGUAAGUAACUAUGCACGUCUUGACGGUACCUAAUCAGAAAGCCACGGCUAACUACGUG
rnacentral:rRNA from 1 species